GUGCACCAGGCGAGAAUUUUUCACAAUGGGGGAAACCCUGAUGGAGCGACGCCGCGUGGAGGAUGAAGGCGUUUUCGUCGUAAACUCCUGUCAAACGGGAACAAGAAAGUGAUAGUACCGUUAGAGGAAGAGGCGGCUAACUCUGUGCCAGCAGCCGCGGUAAUACAGAGGCCUCAAGCGUUGUUCGGAUUCAUUGGGCGUAAAGGGUGCGUAGGUGGCUUGGUAAGUUGAAGGUGAAAUCUCGGGGCUUAACUCCGAAACUGCCUUCAAUACUGCCGAGCUCGAGGAUUGUAGAGGAGAAUGGAAUUCACGGUGUAGCAGUGAAAUGCGUAGAUAUCGUGAGGAAG
rnacentral:rRNA from 1 species